rfam:Camelus ferus unplaced genomic scaffold scaffold951, whole genome shotgun sequence.
GAGAGUAUAGCUGAAGUGGUAAAGCACAUGCUUAGCACGCAUGAGGUCCUGGGUUCAAUCCCCAGUACCUCCU